AUGCCCUGCAUGGGGAAGAAUCAUGUCUCUUCAAAUCACAACGAUACUUUGGAGUUGUGGAAGGAACUGAAAGACCCCAAUGACACAAAAGUAACUUUGAAAGGAUUGCUAGCCAAGAUGAAAGGCGACAACACACCUAAUUUUGUUAGGACAUUUGUCUUGUACACCAUAGGCAAAUAUACGUGGUACUACGAGAAGUGGAGGGUGCACCAAUUGGACUCUACCAUCUCGUAUGCAUCAAGGUUAAGGCUGCUGAUCCAAAACUGGAGUGACGAGAAGGCACAGAAGGUUGACAACAUAAUCAACAAAAAUUAUAUAGGGGUUGGAGAGGAUAAGGCACUCGUGGGUCGUGUAUUGGCUGAUUUGAAAGAAGUUGCCUCCAUUGUGCGGGAGGCCAGUGCACAACAAUUUGAUAGGAUGUGCACCCUUGAAAAAAAAUGGACGAGUGCCUUAGGCGUACCCUUGCGAACGGCAAACGCACGGACGACCUCAUUACAAAAUUCAAUAAUAUUUGAUGUUGAUCGCCCAGGAGUCGAGGACAUACAUCUAUCUGACCUGGGAGUACUUGCGGACCCAAUGGAGGUCCCAGGAGAGAAUACUACUCACCAGCAAAAACAAAAAGAUGACACGGAGUUCAUUGCCGAAGGCAUUUCUGCUAAGGGAAUACAAAAAGAUUACAUGGAUGCCCCCAUGAAGAACGUAGUUGAAGUUUUGCAGCCUGCACCUAGUUUGCAAUCGCGAAAGCAUUCAAAAACCACCACAAGCCUUGAAGAUUUCAUGGAUCCUCUGAAUUUGAGGCACAAUGAGAAUGUGCGAAAGGCUGAAGAAAGAAGAAAUCAAGAUGAUGAAGAUGUCAGUAUUGAGGUGGGAGGAGAGGCAGGUACCAAAAGCAACCACCGGUCUGCCAAGGCUAAGGGAAUAAGGGAGCCGGAAGAGCCCCAUGUCUUCCGAGUUGAUAAGGACAACUAUGAUGAUUCUUUAGAAAAGCAGCAACAAGAUAGUGUGGUUGAUUCCAUGUUACCAACUCAUGCGAGCAGCCGGAAAAGAGUGGCAUCUUCAUUAUUGUGCAAUGUAGAUUAUGUUUUGUACGAUAGUGAUGAGAAGAGAAAGAAAAAUAGGACUCCAUCGGAGUCUACCAAUGAUUCCAAGGACACAACUCAUGCGAGCAGCCGGAAAAGAGUGGUUGAUUCCACACUAAUCUACAUUAGUGUGGUUGAUUCCAUGUUACCAACUCAUGCGAGCAGCCGGAAAAGAGUGGCAUCUUCAUUAUUGUGCAAUGUAGAUUAUGUUUUGUACGAUAGUGAUGAGAAGAGAAAGAAAAAUAGGACUCCAUCGGAGUCUACCAAUGAUUCCAAGGACACAAAGAAUACAAAGAGGAAAAACAGUGCAAGCAAUUUAAAAGAUACAGACAGAGGUGCUUCGAGGCUGGAGACCGACCUUGACAAGUUUCGACAGAUUUACGUGGCCGAAAUUGUCAACACCUCAGAUCUUGAUAAACAAUUGGUGGUAAUUGAUGACAUUGUUCUGCUACAGAAGCAUUUGCAAUACCUCACAAUGAAAGAUGGAGGCGAAUAUGAUAAAUGGUUGGGUGACGAAAUCAUGCGUCAUGAUGAUCCUAAGCACAUAAGGGACGAGCAACUGGUUUACAUUGAGAGGGUGGCCGGCGUCACUAUGCUCGAAAGAGAUGGUAAGGUUUUUCUACCUACGAACAUGGCGAACACCCACUUGUUCCUUAUGGUCGUAAACCCCAGAAGGAGGGAGAUUCAGAUUCUUGAUUCACUUUUCUGCUACCUAAUACGUGGGGUGGAAGCACAUCUGAGAGCAUUGCUGCGAAUCAAUGUACCACAAAGCCAUGCAUGGCAAGACAUUAACGUGACCCAAUGGACAGUAAAGCAUCUUCGUGUGCCAAGACAAGAUGACAAUUCUUCUUGUGCACUCUACAUGCUGAAGAACAUAGAAUUCUUUACGGGAGAAGAUCUUACGCUGCAUUAUGACCAAGCAUACAUCGCCAAUUAUAGAAGAGAGCUGCAUGUUGUCCUUCUUAAUUCGCCCUACAACAAAUGGAAGUCCAUGAAAAGGCUGAAGACAUACAAUGCUAGCCUAUCGGAUGCAGCUGCGAUUGAAGAUCAUGAAGAUGCAAAUCAUAGUUUGUCCUUCUGCACCGCCCAAACCAGCAAGACCGAAGGACGGAGCAACCCAGGAAUCCAGCAAGACCGAACGACGGAGCCAAACAUGAAUCCUCUGGAUGCUUCUUUGCUGCCAUAUGAGGAGUUCAUAAACGGAUUAAACACGCAGCAAAGGAUGUACAUCCAGUUGAUAGGACUGGGCGGACUUCUCAAGACACCUAGCAUCAAAAUUAGACGUGUAUUGUGCCUGGCCAUCGCUAAUUCAUAUGAUACAGAGCAGGAUGCCUUUAUCAUCAAUGGGAGACCAUGUAGGAUCACACUAGAAGAUGUAGCGCGUAUAACAGGCAUGCCCUGCCAUGGGAAGAAGCACGUCCCUUCAAAUCUUGAUGAUAAUAUGGAGUUGUGGAAGACACUAAAAGACCGUAAUGACACCAAAAUAACUUUCAAAGAAUUGCUAGCCAAGAUGAAAGGCGACAGCAAACAAAAUUUUGUCAGGCCAUUUGUCUUGUACACCAUAGGCAAAUAUGUAUGCCGAACAAAAGAGGAGUAUGUGGAUAACAAAUAUAUUGGGAUUGUUAGAAACGUUGAGACGAUAAAGGGCACAAAUCUUGGACAGCUAACGCUUGACUAUCUUAUAGAUAGCGUGAAAAUUUUUGUAAAUGGUGAGGCAAUUCUGGAGGGGAAUCUACCACUGCUGCAGACAUGGUACUACGAGAAGUUCAGAGUGCACCAAUUGGACUCUAGCAUCUCGUAUGAAUCAAGGUUAAGGCCGCUGAUCCAGAACUGGAGUGAGGAGAAGGCAAAAAAGGUUGACAAUAUAAUCCAGAAUAAUUAUCUAGGAGUUGGAGAGUAUGUUGAGGACCUGAUGAGGCCUUUCAUUCCAACACGAGAUGGUACGCUGGACAAACCGAAGACUAGUGCUCAGAUUAAGGUACUCGUCGGACGUGUAUUGACUGAUUUGAAAGAAGUUGCCUCCCUCGUGCGGGAGGCCGGUGCAGAACAAGUCGAUAGGAUGUGCACCCUUGAAAAGAAAAUGGAUGAGUGCCUUAGGCGUACCCGUACAAAUGGCAAGCUCAUGGAGGACCUCAUCAAUGAAUUGAAUAAAAAACGCGACGGAAUAUUUCCAGGAGUGGAGGACAUACAUCUUUUUGACCUCGGGGCACCUUCACACCCAAUGAAGGCCCCUGUUGAGAAUGAUGAGCAGGCUUCUGACCAGGGGAAACAAAAGGAUGUCACGGAGGUCACUGCUAAGCACCAUUGUAAGCAGGGAAUAAAACAUGAUGACAUGGAGCCCCCCAUGAAGAACCUUGAUGAAGAUUUUGAUGAUGAAGCAUUCGAAAGAGCUGCUGUAAAAAUCAAACAGGAUCUCAGUGGUGUCCAUAAGCUUUUGAAAGAGGUGGAUGAUAUCCAGGGUGCUCCUAGUUUGGAUAAGCAAAUGCAUUCCAAAGCCACCACAAGCUUUAAAGAUUUCCAGAAUCCGUUCAACAGGCGGAGUAAGAUGUACUCUGUAAUGGCUACGGGAUCGCGAGAGCCUGAAGAGCCCUGUGCCUUCACAGAUGAUGACAGCCAUGAUGAAUCCUUUAGAAAGCAGCAAGAAGUGGUUGAUGUUAUGAUCCAGCUCAUGCGUCAUGAUGAACCAAUUGACACAAGGGACGGCCAACUGGUAUACAUUGAGAGGGUGGCCGGCAUCACUAAGCUCGAAAGAGAUGGUAGGAUAGAGGAGUGCUAUGAGGACGCUUUGGCAGGCAUUCCUGGAACAACACAAGGCACCAGCUACCUAAAACAUGAUAUGGUUUUCCUACCUACGAACAGUUUAAACGUCCACUGGUUCUUUGUGGUCGUAAACCCCAGAAGGAAGGAGAUUCAGGUUCUUGAUUCACUUUUCCACUUAUUAGUCGUAGGCAACUUCUCAUCCCAUUGGGCUUGCAGUUCUUGUUGUGCACUGUACAUGCUGAAGUACAUCGAAUUAUUUACGGGAGUAAAACUGAGGAUGCAAUAUGACCAAGCCUACAUCGACAAAUUCAGAAGAGAGCUACCUGUUGUGCUUGUCGAUUCACCCUACAACAAAAUGAAAUACAGGAAUAGGUUCAAGCAGUACCAUGCUAGACUAUUGGAUGCAGCUGCAGUUGAAGACGACGAAGAUGCAAGCAUAACAGUGCCUGGGCAAGGUUUGGACCAAUUACAAUGCAUGGGCAACCCUAGAAGAAUAAUGGAUUAUGAUAUGUCUAUUUUCAUACGAGAGAGAAAGAUCUUGCAGUCGGGGCUGGCCGUCGAGGCUGGCGGCCGGCUUGAUCUAGUCCCGCAGAACAUGAUCCAUACCCGACCACCUUGCCUUCGGACGAGAUGCAUGGCCAGAUCAAAGUUGCAGCCAUGGCGGAGAGGUGAUGUAGACGACGCAAACAACCAAUUGGGGUGUGGGAAAGAGGUUGCCUAUAACUUUGUGGCUAUAGGCACCCGCAUGGAGGACUGGGAGGUGGGAUGGCGCCGAAUCUUCGCCGGCGGCCGCCGUGGGGAGGGCAGUGCGCCUCCUCUCAUGUUCUUCGUUGAAAAGGUUGUGCGAGACCGCGAGGAGCCGCGACGCGCGGCUAGAUCCUGCCGGCGAGGAUUAAAACCCUAG
rnacentral:rRNA from 1 species